rnacentral:rRNA from 1 species
UCGACUGUUUACCAAAAACAUAGCUUUUAUUAAUUUAUUAUAAGUGGUACCUGCCCAGUGAUAAUAGUUUGUUUAAAUUUAAUUGAUUUAUUAUAUUUUUAAAUGGAUGCGGUAACUCUGACUGUAAUAAUGUAGCAUAAUAAUUUGUCAUUUAAUUGGUGGAGGGGAUGAAUGGUUUUACGAAUAUUUCUCUGUCUUAAAUAAAAAAUUUUUUAAAUUAAAUUUAUAGUGAAGAUGCUAUAUAAAAUUGUAAGACGAAAAGACCCUAUAGAGCUUUACUAUAAAUAUUUGUUAUUUGAGUAUUUGGUAGUUUAAUUGGGGCGAUUGUUUUUUAAAAGUAACAAAAAUAGGUAAUGGGUAAUAAUGUUUUAUUUACUGUAUAAUAAAUUUAUUUAACAGUUAUUUUAGUAGGCUAUAAUGAUCCGUUUUAUUUUUUAAAAUCUUGAAACGAUAAAUAAAUAAAAGCUACCUUAGGGAUAACAGGAUAAUUUUAUUUUAAAGUUCUUAUUAAAUAUGAAGUUUAUCACCUCUAUGUUGAAUUAAGAUUACCUGGUGGUGUAGAAUUUACCAAGGGUGGGUCUGUUCGACCCCUA